UAUACGUUCCAGUUAAAGCGAAGAAUUGAAUUUUCCAACGCCUGGUUCCAAGGAAGGAAUUUAAACUGUAUCCGAUAAGUACACACCAUACGAGGUACGCUUCGAGGCAUCCUUUUACAAAUCCUUUGUUCGCCCAAGAUUUUCUCAUUACGCCGAGCCCGGCUACUAAUUUAUUCGUACACGAGAAGCAAUCACGGGAGGAAACGGUUAGUCAUCGUUCAACGAUCCCCCUCCCCCCUUCCUCCUCCCCCUUCUCUCCCGGUUUGAAUGAGACGCGACGAGUCAGCAUCGAGGCAAGGUAUCGAGAACGUUGCAUACAAUUAAGGAACAAUCACAGGCAUGCAUUGAAAUAACGAUCGAAGAUUGAGGGAGAGAAUCGGGAUUUGAACCGUUAAUCGUUUUUAGUAUACCGCUUCAAUGAGCCGCGCGAAGCGAAACACGGAUCGAGGGGGAGGGAAGGAGUGGGAUAAGGCGGGAGAAAGAGAGAGAGAGAGGGGAGGGAGAAGAGGAAUUCUUGGCUGGUUCGAGUCGAACAACGUGUAGCGGAUCUUCUACGCAGGUAUACAAGCCCGUUCCAGGAGAUACCGUAAGACCUUGCUGUUACGUCACUAGAAGCCACGUGAUUAGGAGAAAAAGGAUACCGGCGAGAAGGGAGACGAGAAAACGGAAACUCUGCCCUCGGGCUGAGCACGCUUCGUGCCCCGUUCUUCGAAAUUUAAAAUGGAGCGUUGGAUUACCUUGGAGGGGAUAAAGUAAGGAUGUUAUCAAUUAGUUGGUGGAGUUCGGUAUAAUUAUAAUGGAUGAUCAAAUUGUAAUUAUGAACGCUUGGAAGAAUGGAAUGGAAAAGGUAUUUGUAAUAUUUUCUAAAAUAAAUUGUUGAAUUGCAAAUGAUACAAUUGAAGAUGACGAUAUACUUUUUUAAUUUUAAAAAUUAUACAGCCACAAUAAUGGCAAUUGUGAAAAUAUAAAAUGUAUUCUUGCUUUACGUUUAAU